rnacentral:rRNA from 1 species
GACGAACGCUGGCGGCGUGCCUAAUACAUGCAAGUUGAGCGAUGAAGAUUGGUGCUUGCCCCAAUUUGAAGAGCAGCGAACGGGUGAGUAACGCGUGGGGAAUCUGCCUUUGAGCGGGGGACAACAUUUGGAAACGAAUGCUAAUACCGCAUAAUAACUUUAAACAUAAGUUUUAAGUUUGAAAGAUGCAAUUGCAUCACUCAAAGAUGAUCCCGCGUUGUAUUAGCUAGGUGGUGAGGUAAAGGCUCACCAAGGCGAUGUUACAUAGCCGACCCGAGAGGGUGAGUCGCCAAAUUGGGAUUGGGACACUGCGCAUCCGCGUUAGGGAGGCGGCAGUACGGAUGUUUCGGCAAUGGACGAAAGUCUGACCGAGCACCGACGCGUGAGUGAAGAAGGUUUUCGUGUCUUGAAACUCUGUUGGUAGAGAAGACAGUUGGUGAGAGUGGAAAGCUCAUAAAGUGACGGUAACUAGCAAGAAAGGGACGGGUAACUACGUG